rnacentral:lncRNA from 1 species
ACGACCAAAAUUAAGAAGACCAUGACCACGCCCACCACGUCCACGACCAGCGGGACGACGCGGUGGCUCAUCCUCCUCGUCAAUAUCAUCAUCCUCAUUUGGUGGCGGUUCUCGACGUGGUAUGUUCAAUUGGAGAGUUUAGAGCUGCUGCACCAAAUCAUUCAUUUGUGUACGCAACUCCUGAAAUUCCUCCACCGAAACAGCGGCACCAUCUCCACGUCCUGCCAUGUUAGUAGAGGAGAAAAAAAAGGACAAUAUAUAUGUGGAAUCACUCCCUCACCACUUACAAAACAAGUUCUUUCUCUCCCUGAAAAGAGCAAGAACCGGGGCUGCGAUCUGUAGGGAAGAGUGAUUGUAACAGCGACGACGGUGCAACAACUCACGGUGCUUUAAGUGGAGCUUGGUGGGGUAAUAUGUUAGUGGAAUGCACUGAAAUGUAGUGAUGCAAAACCAAAUAAUAAUCCAAGAACAGAAGUCUAAGUUGCUGAAUAUAAAGGAAAGGAUGCACAAAGAAAGGAAUGAGAUGUAGUAAGUGGAUAGAUGAUCACCAAUUUGCACCAACCGAAAACUUGUUGCUGCCCAAACCCCUUUUUGGUGUGCUGCACACAGUUCUCUUUUUGUUUUUCUUUUUUUUUCUUUCUUGCUUUUCUUUUUUUUCUCUUUUUUUUUGGAACAAAAACUCGUUUUCAGUCCUUCUUUUGACCCAUAGACAUCUUUUCUUUUAACCUCUGUGUCAAACGCAGCACAACUUUCAACUAAAGGGGAUCACUAAGAUGGAUGGUGCAGCACAAAAACAAGAAACUGCGGUGGGGAAUAUGUGGCGGUUAGAAAACAAGGGUGGGAUGGGUGGGUAUUUUUUUUUUGUUUAUAUAUACGCAGCAAGCAAUGAUGAUCAGAUCAAGGGUGGGAUGGAUGGGUACAUGCAGCAAGCAAUUUGAUGAUUAGAACAAAGAUAAUAACUAGAACAAUGUGGAAAAGAAAAAUUCAGCAACUAGACAAAUAUUAAAGGAUUAAAACUCGAUAAAGCAAACUACAAAAUCAGUAGCACAUAUGAAUUUGGGCUGUAGGUUUUCUUUUUGGCUCUCAGUGGACAGUAGGUAUUUAAACUCUAUCCUACCAAAAUCAAGAACAAUCCUACCGAGGAAACGAAGGCUUUGGUACCAGAUGAUAUGCUCACGCCUAGGGAUAGCGUGAGACAAGUCGUUGUGGCCCGAUCUUCUCGUAGGAUUCGCGAACUUGAUAACUUGUCGCUGCGUGACCUGGUGAAGAGGCAGUGCACCGCGAGGCUGUCCACGCGACGAACUACCGAGACAAUCACCCUUCCAUGUACCGACGAACAGCCCACGCAAUUACGCCGUAUAGACGUGAAGGCACAAACUGGAUGAACCGCAGUUCGGCGUUCUACAACUCCCUCAGGAAUCGAAAGAACAAGUUUUGCAAGCCUCUCAAGACUCACGCAUAAACAAAACUCCACGAGUUUGUGUAUUCUGAAUUUUAACCAAGCAAGAUGUGUCCUUUCAUUGUCUAGUACAAGAGAUAUAUAUAGAUAGGGGCGUUCAGCUUUGAAUACAUGACAGCAUGCACAUCCACUAGUGGAUUUCGUGGCUGGUUCGCGCGUCUUCUCAGCUUCUGGCAGCAGUU